rnacentral:rRNA from 1 species
UACGGAGGGGGCUAGCGUUGUUCGGAAUUACUGGGCGUAAAGCGCACGUAGGCGGCUUUGUAAGUUAGAGGUGAAAGCCCAGGGCUCAACCCUGGAAUUGCCUUUAAGACUGCAUCGCUUGAACAUCGGAGAGGUGAGUGGAAUUCCGAGUGUAGAGGUGAAAUUCGUAGAUAUUCGGAAGAACACCAGUGGCGAAGGCGACUCACUGGACGAUUGUUGACGCUGAGGUGCGAAAGCGUGGGGAGCAAACAGGAUUAGAUACCCGGUAGUCC